rnacentral:rRNA from 1 species
AAAACAUGGCCUCUUGUGCGGUUUGAUAUAGGAGGUCGGACCUGCUCUCUGAAUUGGUUUUAGGGUUUAAAGGGCUGCAGUAUACUUGACUGUACAAAGGUAGCAUAGUAGCUUGCCUAUUAAUUGUUGGCUGGAAUGAAUGGUUUGAUGAGAUGUGAUCUGUCUCUGUGUUAUGAUAGUAGAAUUUCACUUUGUGGUGAAUAGGCCAUAAUGUUUCCGAGGGACGAAAAGACCCUAUAGAUUUUUAGCUUGUAUUAUAUGUGUUAUCAUGUUAAUGUUUAAGUGUAAUCAUAUUUAAGCAGGUUUUUACUGGGGCGGUAUCUGAAGAAGUAGAUCUUCAGAUUUUUAAUGAGGUUUACACUCACUUGUGGGUAUUGUUUUGAUCCUAUAUAUAUGGAU